AUUGAACGCUGGCGGCAGGCCUAACACAUGCAAGUCGAGCGGAUGAGGGGAGCUUGCUCCUCGAUUCAGCGGCGGACGGGUGAGUAAUGCCUAGGAAUCUGCCUAGUAGUGGGGGACAACGUUUCGAAAGGAACGCUAAUACCGCAUACGUCCUACGGGAGAAAGUGGGGGAUCUUCGGACCUCACGCUAUUAGAUGAGCCUAGGUCGGAUUAGCUAGUUGGUAGGGUAACGGCCUACCAAGGCGACGAUCCGUAACUGGUCUGAGAGGAUGAUCAGUCACACUGGAACUGAGACACGGUCCAGACUCCUACGGGAGGCAGCAGUGGGGAAUAUUGGACAAUGGGCGAAAGCCUGAUCCAGCCAUGCCGCGUGUGUGAAGAAGGCCCUCGGGUCGUAAAGCACUUUAAGUUGGGAGGAAGGGCUUACAGCGAAUACCUGUGAGUUUUGACGUUACCGACAGAAUAAGCACCGGCUAACUUCGUGCCAGCCGCCGCAGUAACAC
rnacentral:rRNA from 1 species